rnacentral:rRNA from 1 species
UACAGAGGUCUCAAGCGUUGUUCGGAUUCAUUGGGCGUAAAGGGUGCGUAGGCGGCGCGGUAAGUCGGGUGUGAAAUCUCAGGGCUCAACCCUGAAACUGCAUUCGAUACUGCGCGGCUAGAGUGCUGGAGGGGAGACUGGAAUUUACGGUGUAGCAGUGAAAUGCGUAGAUAUCGUAAGGAAGACCAGUGGCGAAGGCGAGUCUCUGGACAGCAACUGACGCUGAGGCACGAAGGCCAGGGGAGCAAACGGG